UCAGAUAAAACUGUGAUCCAACCCCAAGCUUCUUGUGUUUCAAAAGUUUGUGGUCCGAUCCCAAGCUUUUUGUGUUCCAAAACUCAGAUAAAAACUCACAACAAACUCACCCCAAGCUUCUUGUGUUCCAAAUUCGAUUGAACAAACUCAAAAUAAAAAAUAUAUCUACACUAAAUCAACAAAAUAAAGAAAACCCAGCUGCAAAAUGAAAGUUCAAAAAUAUCAAACUGAAUAAUAG
rnacentral:lncRNA from 1 species